AGAGUUUGAUCCUGGCUCAGGACGAACGCUGGCGGCGUGCUUAACACAUGCAAGUGGAGCGACGAACCGGGCUUCGGCCCGGGGCAAAGCCGCGAACGGGUGAGUAUCACGUGGGUAACCUGCCCCGAUGACCGGGACAACCCGAGGAAACUCGGGCUAAUACCGGAUGUGCUCCCAAUCCACCAGGGUUGGGAACAAAGGAAGCUUCGGCCUCCGCAUCGGGAUGGGCCCGCGGCCCAUUAGCUUGUUGGUGAGGUAAAGGCUCACCAAGGCGACGAUGGGUAGCUGGUCUGAGAGGACGAUCAGCCACACUGGGACUGAGACACGGCCCAGACUCCUACGGGAGGCAGCAGUGGGGAAUCUUGCGCAAUGCGCGAAAGCGUGACGCAGCAACGCCGCGUGAGGGAAGAAGGCCUUCGGGUUGUAAACCUCUUUCAGGAGGGACGAAGGUUCAGGCGCGAAUAGCGUCCUGGACUGACGGUACCUCCAGAAGAAGCCCCGGCUAACUACGUGCCAGCAGCCGCGGUA
rnacentral:rRNA from 1 species